rnacentral:rRNA from 1 species
UACAGAGGUCCCAAGCGUUGUUCGGAUUCAUUGGGCGUAAAGGGUGUGUAGGUGGCGCCGUAAGUCGGGUGUGAAAUCUCGGGGCUUAACUCCGAAAACUGCAUUCGACACUGCGGUGCUUGAGGACUGGAGAGGAGACUGGAAUUCAUGGUGUAGCAGUGAAAUGCGUAGAGAUCAUGAGGAAGACCAGUGGCGAAGGCGGGGUCUCUGGGGCCAUACUGACUGAGGAGCGAAAGCGUGGGGG